UGUUGCUUGUGGUAGCAUGUGUCACCUUGAGCAAGAGUACCAAAAUAGGAUUCAGAUAUACAAGUAAUCAAAUAUUAAAUUUCAUUUGUUGGUUUGUUCAUUUUAUCCAUUAUCCAUCUAAUUUUAAUAAUUUAACAAUUUGCGUAAAAUUUAAAAUAAAGAUUGUCAUAAAUGUUUGUUUAAAGGAGUAGGUUCAGUAAGACCCCUUUUUGGCCCCAAAAUAUAGCAGUUUACAAAAAUUGUUAAAAUGUAAACUUUUAGUUAUUUGAUGGACAGAAGAAUACUUCUGCUACAUCAAUAUGGGCUGUUUUUGACAAUACAAUGCACAUAUAUAGGGUACUAGCACCAU
rnacentral:lncRNA from 1 species